UGCUGAAGAGUCCCACAAUAGGACGAAACGGCCGUUCA
rfam:Schistosoma haematobium scaffold2973_6, whole genome shotgun sequence.